AUAUUGGUCAAUAGCCUAACGGCUGAACCAGCAAUUUGGGGGAAUGUAUAGCGAAAGCUAGUUGUAUUAACUAAUAGUUAAUGCAAAAUCGAUUACGUCGACUAAAGUUCUAGGUAGAAUAAUGAUGAUGACAAUUUUUUAUCUAUAUGUCUUGACCAAGUCUCGUGCCAGCAGUCGCGGUAAUACGUGGAAGACUAGUGUUAUUCAUCUUUAAUAGGUUUAAAGGGUACCUAGACGGUAUUUCUAGCCCAAAAUAGGGUACGGAUUUACUAGAGUUUUAUGUGAGGAGGGGAGUACUCAUAGAGUAGAGAUGGAAUUUUGUGAUACUAUGAGGAAACUGGUGGCGGCGAAAGCAACCUUCUAUGUAUAAACUGACGUUGAGGGACGAAGGCUUGGGUAGCAAAUAGGAUUAGAUACCCUAGUAGUCCAAGCAGACAAUUCUGAAUGCCAUAGACUAGAUAAGAUUUAGUUAUCUUAUUAUAUAUUUAUUUGCAUGAUAAAUUUGACCGCUGUGGAAUAUUGUGGGCUAUA
rnacentral:rRNA from 1 species